CCGCACGUCAGUAUGAGAAAAGUUGAGUCGCAGCCUGAACCACUGACUGAACACCUGGGGAAAGCCCUGGGAGCACAGUUGAAGGCAAUUUACCUGUGUGACCAGAAGGGAAGGCGCCUGGUUCCACCUCUCUUAGACCUCAUUUAAGGGCUGACUGCUACUAGGGAAGGGUCUCUUUCUGGAGAUUUCUCAUUGGUGAAACUUUCUCCUUUAAGCCUAGGAUCUUCUGAUAUGGGGAUGAGAGCAGAUCUCUCAAGAGCACCGCAUUAGUAAAUUCUGCCUGCUUCUGCUGUACCAAGGCAAAAUUGUCUUGAAGCUUGCUCCAACUGUACUUACCUCUCAGUGCAGUUAUGGGUUGACAGUGGAGGUGAGGGCAUCUCUUGCUGAAGAUCCCUGCCUACCUGAGGCCUUCCUAAGAUAGAAUCAUGAGCUGCUGAAAGGCCUCAGUUGGAUCCAACCUGUUGGAUGAUAGUCCCACAAAUGGUCUCUGUAGAAAUGACUCUUGGGGAAAGCUACACACCUGAUCUCAUAUUUUUUUUCCUUUGCAAGGAUGUUUUGCCAAUUGGCAAGUUCAACAGGAAGAACAUAGACACCAACAAAAGGGAUAAGAUUAUUAUACUGUGUAUUUCAAAAUGAUACAGAAAUAAAGCAGUGCCUACAGUAAAAAGAUAAGCUUAACAGUAAAGAAAAUAAGUGGAGUAAUGCAUCUAAUUGUUACUACAUGAGGUUAGCAAAAGUGAUUAAGAAAGACACAUCAUCCAUUGCCCUAGUACUUUACUAUCAUCCACAGGUGCUGGAGAGCCCUGGUUGCAGUGCAGAUCAAUUGGGAACUCCUAUGGUGGUGUGUCCCCCCUGUAAGUGAGGUCUCCAAAGUUGCUGCAAGAAAGUCUUAUGGAAACAAAUCUACAUAACAAUCAGGUAGAACACCUGUUUUCCUCUUUUUUCCUGUUGGUUUUCACCCCUAACUUGGCUAGAAUUCAUGGAGGAACCAAGGGAGUUGUGCUAUGUAUUUUGGUGUACUGCAGGCUUCUUUGGCGAGACUUUCUGCCUAGGCCGCUGCAGUAUGAUUAAUUGAGUACCAAACAUUGCAGCAAAGUUGCCUUCUGAUCAAGAAAUAUAUAAUUUAACCAUGAUUGCUGCACAAUACACAUUACAAUAGAGCUUCUGUAGAGAAACACCAGAAUAUACACUCAUACUGACAUGACAAAAUAUGGAUAAACA
ensembl:lncRNA